rnacentral:rRNA from 1 species
GAUGAACGCUGGCGGCGUGCCUAAUACAUGCAAGUCGAGCGAACAGACGAGGAGCUUGCUCCUCUGACGUUAGCGGCGGACGGGUGAGUAACACGUGGAUAACCUACCUAUAAGACUGGGAUAACUUCGGGAAACCGGAGCUAAUACCGGAUAACAUGUUGAACCGCAUGGUUCAACAGUGAAAGACGGGUUUGCUGUCACUUAUAGAUGUAUCCGCGCCGCAUUAGCUAGUUGGUAAGGUAACGGCUUACCAAGGCAACGAUGCGUAGCCGACCUGAGAGGGUGAUCGGCCACACUGGAACUGAGACACGGUCCAGACUCCUACGGGAGGCAGCAGUAGGGAAUCUUCCGCAAUGGGCGAAAGCCUGACGGAGCAACGCCGCGUGAGUGAAGAAGGUCUUCGGAUCGUAAAACUCUGUUAUUAGGGAAGAACAAAUGUGUAAGUAACUAUGCACGUCUUGACGGUACCUAAUCAGAAAGCCACGGCUAACUACGUG